GGGAGUGAAAGUCGUAACAAGGUUUCCGUAGGUGAACCUGCGGAAGGAUCAUUAAAGAGAGGGGCUUCGCGCUCCAGGGGACCCCGGUCCCCGCCUCUACACCCCGUGAUUACCUUACCUCUUGUUGCCUUGGCGGGGGAUUACCCCGCCAGCAGCCCACCGAAACUCGUUUGAUCCAUGUCCGUCUGAACCGAAUUCAUAAUGAAUCAAAACUUUCAACAACGGAUCUCUUGGUUCUGGCGUCGAUGAAGAACGCAGCGAAAUGCGAUAAGUAAUGUGAAUUGCAGAAUUCAGUGAAUCAUCGAAUCUUUGAACGCACAUUGCGCCCCUCGGUAUUCCGGGGGGCAUGCCUGUUCGAGCGUCAUUACAUCACUCAAGCGUAGCUUGGUAUUGGGUCCUUCGCCCGGGGCUCCCCUGCGGCGUGCCCGAAAAGCAUUGGCGGUCCGGUGUGACUUGAAGCGUAGUAAAUUUUCUCCCGCUUUGCAAGCCUCGCGCCGCGGCCGGCCAGACAACCCCAUUUAUACCUCACGAUUGACCUCGGAUCAGGUAGGGAUACCCGCUGAACUUAAGCAUAUCAAUAAGCGGA
rnacentral:rRNA from 1 species